AUAAGCUGCACGUUUCCUUGCAUUGUACUCCGCCCUUGCAUUAUCCGCGUAUUUUUUGCAUUCAUUAUUUAAUGAUAGAGUUUCAUGAUGUUCGGAAGCAGUGUCGUCUGCAUGUAUAAAUACAAAUAAGAAAACAAAUAAAACGACGGUUGGGAAGGUGGAUAUCAUGCCUAUGGAUACCUUGAGAAUUAUCUCGUAGCUGCAUGUUAUGAAUGGCAUGAUGGAGUGUUAGGCUAGCCGUAGGUGUUAAUGUUUGACCAUCAUCAUGGUACCCAGGCCUUACCCUUUCCGGUCCUUCUGUAGAGUAUAGUAAGCAUGAAUACAACUUCAAUAUUUGUCUGGUAUGCACGCAAUCAAUCAUGUACCUGUCUCCGUCGUGUAAAAAGGAUCAACAUCUGCAGCUAUGGAUAUGAUGUUUGGAUUACCAUCUUUCAUUUUUGUCACGCUCGUAGGUGCUGCAAGACAUUAAGCAUGGUACAAGUCAUUGUUAGACUUGCACGUCAGGCAUCACAUCACAGUAUUUUCACAGUUUAUAUACCUGGUUCAAUCGCGCGAAUAGCAUCUACUUGUUCAUCAACGGGUAUCAAGUUUGCGUUGUAUUCUUUAGCAUGUUUUACGCUCGUCUGAUCUGCAACACAUUAUGCAAGAAGCGUAAUUAGCAGAAAAGCAAGUAUUCAUAGUACAGUGAACACCACCUGUAGCUAUGCCGUCUUCUUGUUCAUGUUCACCGGCUUUGCUUCUUGCAUUACCCAUUCGCAAAUGAAAUGACCGCUGGCUCUGGUGUUUUUGAGGCCUGGGAGAUGAUCAGAUGGAUAUAAUGGAUGCAACAUGAACGCAAGAGAUAUGGCGAACUUGAAGGCAUGAAUAAGAAGACACAUGAGAACCUGGAACACAUAGCAAUGAUGGAGAGGGUUUUGGGACCCGUACCAGAGCACAUGAUACGGAACGCUAGGAUUACUUUUAGAACCAAACCCUUAUUAUUGGGCUUGUUUCUCAAGAGAAUGGCAGUAUCUCCACUUGUAUCCUGGAAGUCCAGGGUUUGAGUCAGUAUCCUUAAAAAAUCAAACAAGGGAAAUGUUGGGUAAGAACCUAAUAAUUCCCUUUCCCAGGACCCCACAACAAGUGGGAGCUUUUGAUUCUGGGAUAACCUUUGGUUAUAUUUUUGAGAGUGAAAUAUAUAUCAUUCUCCUUUGCACUAAAUCUUCUGCAUCAAAUGUUUUGAAGAACUCUGGCACGUCCUACCUGCAAAGAAAUAUUUCUUUUAUUUUUA